AUGGUUAAGUUAUGAAGGGCGCACGGUGAAUGCCUUGGCACUAGGAGCCGAAGAAGGACGSGACGAACASCGAAAUGCCUCGGGGAGCUGUAAGUAAGCUUUGAUCCGGGGRUAUCCGAAUGGGGGAACCCACCAUCCGUAAUGGGAUGGUACCCAUACCUGAAUACAUAGGGURUGAGGAGGCAGACCUGGGGAACUGAAACAUCUAAGUACCCAGAGGAAGAGAAAGCAAAUGCGAUUUCCUGAGUAGCGGCGAGCGAAACGGAAUUAGCCCAAACCAAGAGGCUUGCCUCUUGGGGUUGUAGGACGUCUCACAUGGAGUAAGAAAAGACGAUCAUAGGCGAAGCGGUCUGGAAAGACCCGUCAGAGAAGGUAACAACCCUGUAGCCAAAAUGAUCGUCUCUCC
rnacentral:rRNA from 2 species